GAUGAAGAACGUAGCGAAAUGCGAUAAGUAAUGUGAAUUGCAGAAUUCAGUGAAUCAUCGAGUUUUUGAACGCACAUUGCGCCCCCUGGUAUUCCGGGGGGCAUGCCUGUUCGAGCGUCAUUUCACCACUCAAGCCUCGCUUGGUAUUGGGCAACGCGGUCCGCCGCGUGCCUCAAAUCGACCGGCUGGGUCUUCUGUCCCCUAAGCGUUGUGGAAACUAUUCGCUAAAGGGUGCUCGGGAGGCUACGCCGUAAAACAAACCCAUUUCUAAGGUUGACCUCGGAUCAGGUAGGGAUACCCGCUGAACUUAAGCAUAUCAAUAAGCGGAGGA
rnacentral:misc_RNA from 1 species